AGCCAUGUGGUGAGCACAAAGCGAACUAUUCUUUCGCCUUUUACUAAAGAAUACCGUGUGCUCUCUACGCUAAGUGGCAUACGCCUAUUUUUGGAGGGAUCUCGCUUCACAGUGAGAC
rnacentral:snRNA from 1 species